UUUAUGGAGAGUUUGAUCCUGGCUCAGGACGAACGCUGGCGGCGUGCCUAAUACAUGCAAGUCGAGCGGAGAUUUAAAAGCUUGCUUUUAAAUCUUAGCGGCGGACGGGUGAGUAACACGUGGGCAACCUGCCCUGUAGACUGGGAUAACUUCGGGAAACCGAAGCUAAUACCGGAUAAUCUUUAGCNUCACAUGGUGCAAAAGUAAAAGUUGGGUUUUACCUAACACUACAGGAUGGGCCCGCGGCGCAUUAGCUAGUUGGUAAGGUAANGGCUUACCAAGGCNACGAUGCGUAGCCGACCUGAGAGGGUGAUCGGCCACACUGGGACUGAGACACGGCCCAGACUCCUACGGGAGGCAGCAGUAGGGAAUCUUCCGCAAUGGACGAAAGUCUGACGGAGCAACGCCGCGUGAACGAUGANGAUAAUCUUUUGCGUCUCAUGGNGCNAAAGUAAAAGUUGGGUUUUACCUAACACUACAGGAUGGGCCCGCGGCGCAUUAGCUAGUUGGUAAGGUAANGGCUUACCAAGGCGACGAUGCGUAGCCGACCUGAGAGGGUGAUCGGCCACACUGGGACUGAGACACGGCCCAGACUCCUACGGGAGGCAGCAGUAGGGAAUCUUCCGCAAUGGACGAAAGUCUGACGGAGCAACGCCGCGUGAACGAUGAAGGCCUUCGGGUCGUAAAGUUCUGUUGUUAGGGAAGAACAAGUACCGUUCGAAUAGGGCGGUACCUUGACGGUACCUAACCAGAAAGCCACGGCUAACUACGUGCCAGCAGCCGCGGUAAUACGUAGGUGGCAAGCGUUGUCCGGAAUUAUUGGGCGUAAAGCGCGCGCAGGCGGUCUCUUAAGUCUGAUGUGAAAGCCCACGGCUCAACCGUGGAGGGUCAUUGGAAACUGGGAGACUUGAGUGCAGAAGAGGAGAGUGGAAUUCCAUGUGUAGCGGUGAAAUGCGUAGAUAUAUGGAGGAACACCAGUGGCGAAGGCGACUCUCUGGUCUGUAACUGACGCUGAGGCGCGAAAGCGUGGGGAGCAAACAGGAUUAGAUACCCUGGUAGUCCACGCCGUAAACGAUGAGUGCUAGGUGUUAGGGGUUUCGAUGCCCUUAGUGCCGAAGUUAACACAUUAAGCACUCCGCCUGGGGAGUACGACCGCAAGGUUGAAACUCAAAGGAAUUGACGGGGGCCCGCACAAGCAGUGGAGCAUGUGGUUUAAUUCGAAGCAACGCGAAGAACCUUACCAGGUCUUGACAUCCUUUGACAACCCUAGAGAUAGGGCUUUCCCCUUCGGGGGACAAAGUGACAGGUGGUGCAUGGUUGUCGUCAGCUCGUGUCGUGAGAUGUUGGGUUAAGUCCCGCAACGAGCGCAACCCUUGAUCUUAGUUGCCAGCAUUCAGUUGGGCACUCUAAGGUGACUGCCGGUGACAAACCGGAGGAAGGUGGGGAUGACGUCAAAUCAUCAUGCCCCUUAUGACCUGGGCUACACACGUGCUACAAUGGAUGGUACAAAGGGCAGCAAAACCGCGAGGUUGAGCCAAUCCCAUAAAGCCAUUCUCAGUUCGGAUUGUAGGCUGCAACUCGCCUACAUGAAGCCGGAAUUGCUAGUAAUCGCGGAUCAGCAUGCCGCGGUGAAUACGUUCCCGGGCCUUGUACACACCGCCCGUCACACCACGAGAGUUUGUAACACCCGAAGUCGGUGGGGUAACCUUUAUGGAGCCAGCCGCCUAAGGUGGGACAGAUGAUUGGGGUGAAGUCGUAACAAGGUAGCCGUAUCGGAAGGUGCGGCUGGAUCACCUCCUUU
rfam:Anaerobacillus sp. NB2006 Ga0137927_1001, whole genome shotgun sequence.